rnacentral:rRNA from 1 species
AGUGAACGCUGGCGGUAGGCCUAACACAUGCAAGUCGAACGGCAGCACAGUAAGAGCUUGCUCUUACGGGUGGCGAGUGGCGGACGAGUGAGGAAUACAUCGGAAUCUACUUUUUCGUGGGGGGUAACGUAGGGAAACUUACGCUAAUACCGCAUACGACCUACGGGUGAAAGCAGGGGAUCUUCGGACCUUGCGCGAUUGUAUGAGCCGAUGUCGGAUUAGCUAGUUGGCGGGGUAAAGGCCCACCAAGGCGACGAUCCGUAGCUGGUCUGAGAGGAUGAUCAGCCACACUGGAACUGAGACACGGUCCAGACUCCUACGGGAGGCAGCAGUGGGGAAUAUUGGACAAUGGGCGCAAGCCUGAUCCAGCCAUACCGCGUGGGUGAAGAAGGCCUUCGGGUUGUAAAGCCCUUUUGUUGGGAAAGAAAAGCAGCAGGUUAAUACCCCGCUGUUCUGACGGUACCCAAAGAAUAAGCACCGGCUAACUUCGUG